UCAAUCUCACAAACAUAAUACGACCCAUGAUCGUCGAAUCUAACCUUAGAACACGCAUCAAUCCAAGAAGUCGUUAUUCCCGCGGUAUUCAUUGAGUUACAGUAGUUAGAAAAUCGGUAUUAUUUCUCCGAGUGACGGGUACGCCGUUAAUGACCUGCGCAAAUAUGGCUUCACGAGAGUUAAACCUGGGUUAUCUAUGCUGCAAUUUAACUUUUCGCAGAUACUACAAUAUUUUUGUGGGCUACUCCAGCUUUUAACAACGGGUUAAUCCGAAAUCCAGUGAUCCUUUUUUUGUUACGUGAAGUCGAGCACACGCUAACUGUGGGUUAGGUUAACCUGGAGUAACUCUCACUCAUGAAUGACACCGGGCAUAGUAGUACAAAAUACCUGGUGAUGAUCAAAAUCGGUGAUUGUUGAUCAAAAAAAUGGCCUAUUUGAUGUGGAUACUAACAUACAUCGAUAUGGCCGGAGGCUGGUAAAGGUGAAAUAGCACGCCUCUUCGCGUCUAUCAUGGUCGGCUAGAGGCGUGAGUGUUGCAGUAGGAGUCGUGAAAGUAAGAUUGCAUUCGUCUACAAUGCAGGUUAGCAAUUCACCGUUGCGCGUUUCACAGUCCGUGCAAUUACGGCAUACGGAAGAACAUAAAGGCUAUAGGUGACAUAGACGCAUCAGCAUCGCAUUACGAAACCGGUCAUGAGGCAAAAAUAUAUUCAAAAACCUAUAAAGUACACAUGACAUAAAUCACCCCGAGCAUGUCUAUGUGGGUAUUGUGGUUUGGAAAUAUCUACAAAGUACAUAGAACUUUAGUGACGAUAUUCAAUGAAAACUACUUAUUCGUAUUAUAACAUAAUUAGAAUAAGGGUUUCUCAAAUUUUCAUAUCUGACCUACACCAGUAGUCACGGCAACCAGAAAUAUGAAGUUUUAAGAGGUGGACUACAAUCUUUCGACUGCCUUCACUUCAUUCAACAACGCAAUCCAUUCUGAUAUUCCCUUUAACACUGUAUCAGUACAUUACCUGCAAAUAUACUCAUACUUAUAUUA
rnacentral:lncRNA from 1 species